UACGUAGGGAGCAAGCGUUGUCCGGAAUCAUUGGGCGUAAAGCGCGCGUAGGUGGCUUCGUAAGUCCGUUGUGAAAGUCAAAGGCUCAACCUUUGAAAGCCGAUGGAUACUGCGGAGCUAGAGUACGGAAGAGGCGAGUGGAAUUCCUGGUGUAGCGGUGAAAUGCGCAGAUAUCAGGAGGAACACCAAUUGCGAAGGCAGCUCGCUGGGACGGUACUGACGCUGAGACGCGAAAGCGUGGGGAGCAAACAGG
rnacentral:rRNA from 1 species